rnacentral:rRNA from 1 species
UACGAAGGGGGCUAGUGUUGCUCGGAAUUACUGGGCGUAAAGGGCGCGUAGGCGGAUAUUUAAGUCGGGGGUGAAAGCCCGGGGCUCAACCUCGGAAUUGCCUUCGAUACUGGAUAUCUUGAGUUCGGGAGAGGUGAGUGGAAUGCCGAGUGUAGAGGUGAAAUUCGUAGAUAUUCGGCGGAACACCAGUGGCGAAGGCGACUCACUGGCCCGAUACUGACGCUGAGGCGCGAAAGCGUGGGGAGCAAACAGG